GUACCGUGAGGGAAAGGCGAAAAGUACCCCUGCGAGGGGAGUUAAAAGUACCUGAAACCGUGUGCCUACAAGCAGUGGGAGGACUAUGCCCGUAAGGGAAUGUCUGACCGCGUGCCUAUUGCAUAAUGAGCCGGCUAGUUAUUCUUGUCAGCGAGGUUAAGCGUAAGCGAGCCGAAGCGAAAGCGAGUCUGAACAGGGCGUUCAGUUGGCAGGAAUAGACGCGAAGCGGGAUGAUCUACCCUUGGCCAGGUUGAAGGUAGGGUAAAACCUAUUGGAGGACCGAACCGGUGUUUGUUGAAAAAAGCUCGGAUGAGCUGAGGGUAGGGGUGAAAGGCUAAUCAAAUUCCGUGAUAGCUCGUUCUCUCCGAAAUAGCUUUAGGGCUAGCCUCGGAUGAUUUGCGACGGUGGUAGAGAUCUGAAUGGACUAGGGGGCUUUCCGGCUUACCGAAUCCAGCCAAACUUCGAAUGCCGUUGACAACCAGUCCGGGAGUCAGACUGUGGGGGCUAAGCUUCACAGUCGAGAGGGAAACAGCCCAGACCGCCUGCUAAGGUCCCAAAGUUACAGUUAAGUGGGAAAGGAAGUCGGAACGCUCAGACAGCCAGGAGGUUGGCUUAGAAGCAGCCAUCCUUUAAAGAAAGCGUAAUAGCUCACUGGUCAAGCGGUCCGGUGCCGACAAUACAACGGGGCUAAAACUGUACACCGAAGCAACGGAUGCACACCUCUGGUGUGCGUGGUAGGAGAGCAUUCUCAACAGCAUUGAAGUCCGACUGAGAAGACGGAUGGAGCGUUGCGAAGAGACCCUGCCGGCAUAAGUAGCGAUAAUGAAGGUGAGAACCCUUCACGCCGAAAGUCUAAGGUUUCCUGAGGAAGGUUAAUCCGCUCAGGGUUAGGCGGUCCCUAAGGUGAGGCCGAAAGGCGUAAUCGAUGGACAUCCGGUUAAUAUUCCGGACCUCCCAACUCUCGUUUGACGAUGGGGAGACGCAGAAGGAUAAGCAGGUCGUCCUAUGACUAUGGCGAUCAAUACGUGCAAGCUGGAUCUGGUAGGCAAAUCCGCCAGGUCUUAACAGUGAGACGUAGAGCAGGCCCUUAUGGGCCAAAGCUGCUGAGUUCAUGCUGCCAAGAAAAUCCUCUAAGGAGAGAUGUUGGGAACCGUACCACAAACCGACACAGGUAGACGAGGAGAAUAUCCAAAGGCGCUCGAGUGAAGGCUUGUUAAGGAACUCGGCAAAUUAGACCCGUAACUUCGGGAGAAGGGUCGCCCACCAUCUGGUGGGCCGCAGUGAAACGCGUACGGCGACUGUUUAACAAAAACACAGGUCUCUGCUAAGUCGAAAACGACGUAUAGGGGCUGACUCCUGCCCGGUGCCGGAAGGUUAAAAGGAGAGGUUAGCCGCAAGGCGAAGCUUUGAAUUGAAGCCCCGGUGAACGGCGGCCGUAACUAUAACGGUCCUAAGGUAGCGAAAUUCCUUGUCGGGUAAGUUCCGACCCGCACGAAAGGCGUAACGAUUUGGGUACUGUCUCGGAGAGAGACUCGGCGAAAUAGACUUGUCUGUGAAGAUGCGGACUACCUGCACCUGGACAGAAAGACCCUAUGAAGCUUUACUGUAACUUGGAAUUGGGUUUGAGCUUUUCUUGCGCAGCAUAGGUGGGAAGCUAAGAAAAUAGGUUUGCGGAUCUAUUUGAGCUAUCAGUGAGAUACCACUCUGGAAAAGCUAGAAUUCUAACCUUGAAAGCCGUUAUCCGGCCAAGGGACAGUUUCAGGUGGGCAGUUUGACUGGGGCGGUCGCCUCCUAAAAAGUAACGGAGGCGUGCAAAGGUUCCCUCAGGCUGGUUGGAAAUCAGUCGUAGAGUGUAAAGGCAUAAGGGAGCUUGACUGCAAGACCUACAAGUCGAGCAGAGACGAAAGUCGGCCUUAGUGAUCCGACAGUGCCGAGUGGAAGGGCUGUCGCUCAACGGAUAAAAGUUA
rnacentral:rRNA from 1 species